GCUGUCUCACCUUUGGAUGUACAGAGGCAUCCACUUCCACCUUGAGCACCGCACCGUGCAGCCAACGCUCCGCGGAGCGUCUCUCGCUGGCAGCUGGGGCACGCAAGCGCAGCGGCUCCGCCUAAUCGCGCUUGCUCUUCGAUGAAGCAUCGGUUUCUCAAUUCCUCGAAAGAGCCACGACGUGCGCUCUUAGCAAUUGAUGGGUACCAUGUGCACAGAGGCCAAGGGAUCGAUCAGCUGGCCAAAAUCGUCAGUUCUCUUGCCCGUGACUUCGGACCUGGAGUGAAGUCACAUGGACACAGCGAGCUGGGUAUCUGCUACAGGCUGCUGAAGUGCAGCCACUGCAACACAAAAGGCCACGAAGUCCUGCGAGUGCAGCAAAUUCCUUCGCCUACCUUCCCAACAUGAACCAAGACUGCUUUAGAUCAUCUUAAUGUGUAAAGCAGCACACAAAAACAAGACAUGAAAGGAGGAAUACAAUUGAACAGGCCAACCA